UUACAGCUUCCGUUAAACUUUUGUUUAUUUAUCAUCCAGCCAUCAAAAAGUGAUUAAAAAACAACAACGCGUCCACAGAGGUGACACAUUACUACAGAAAACCACCAGGCCACUCUACAGUAACAGAAGAGGGUCUCAUAUUUCUGGCAACGAGGAGACCGGACCAGCAGGCGUGUUAGUCAGGUGGGCUGUGGAGCGGUCCGAGGGUCCUCUUCCUCCGAGCAGACUGUUGAACAAAUAAUAAAGGGGACCAGAGGACAGAAACCAGAUCCUGGACUCACUAAUGACGCUCCUGGCCUGUCAGUCACCUGCCCCCCCCCCCCCCCCCCAGACGUCUUUAUGAGGUAACAAUGUGGUCAACA